UACGAAGGACCCAAGCGUUAUCCGGAUUUAUUGGGUUUAAAGGGGGCGUAGGCGGGUUGUUAAGUCAGUGGUGAAAGCUUCGAGCCUAACUCGGAAACUGCCAUUGAUACUGACGAUCUUGAGUACAUUUGAAGUGGGCGGAAUGUGUCAUGUAGCGGUGAAAUGCUUAGAUAUGACACAGAACACCGAUUGCGAAGGCAGCUCACUAAACUGUAACUGACGCUGAGGCACGAAAGCGUGGGGAGCAAACAGG
rnacentral:rRNA from 1 species